rnacentral:sRNA from 1 species
GUAAAUGCCUCAGGUUUGACAGAAUAGGUACUGCACAGGCAGCAGGAGCGGAAGCUUCCCUCAAUGCCCCACCCAUGUGCUUCAACCCUGAUAUGAAAACAACAAGGAGUCUGGUGGCACCUUAAAGACUAACAGAU